ACAGUAAAGAGGGAAAGAAGGGAGACUAGGUGGAGAGGGUGUAGGAAAAGGCUCGGGGAAAAGGCAGCAAGAUGUAAGAUGGUGCAAACCUUGGCUGCUGAUUAGAGGAUCCUUCAGCUGAAACCUGGAGUAUAGGGUGGGUCUGGGUUCCCCUCCCAGACACUGGGGAAAUGGCAUAGUUUGGAUAGUGAAGGGAAGACUGCCAUCUUGGAGGCAGAGACUUUGAUAUCUGGGAAGGGGGGAAAACACACAGUGACCUGGCCAGAUCACCAAGCCAUGAAGACAAAGCACCCUGAGUCACAGAGAGAGAGAGAGUGGCAGCUGGGUGUGCAUUGAGCUGUAGAAGGGUGUGUUGGACCUGGAAAGAGUGAAUCCCCAGACGCAGCCACAAGGAAGCACCCCAAUGAAACUGAGAGAUGCUAGAGAAGUGAAAAAGCUAUGGGUUGACUUGGCACAAGCUAAACAGGAAGCUUCCAUCACUGUUCUGGAAUUAAAGGAGAAGAUAAAGACUCUCUGUGAUGGAAAGUUAAACCCCUAGAGAGGUCAACAAUAUUGAAGGCCAGUGCCAGAGCCAAGAAUAACACAGGAGUGAAGAUUCCCAGUCUAACCACUCAAUUACUCUCUUUUAUGUUCACCCCAUGGACUUUGGAAGAAAUCUCCUGCAUUCUCUCUUUUAUUAUCUGUUCCUUUCAAGAAGUACUGGAGACCAUCAAGAAAUUUAUAGACUAAGACAAAGGUAUGUGAUGUAAACCAAGCUAUGUGGAUUAAGCUUAAAAUAUGUUUAUGUAUUAAACACAAACUAUGUGGACUAAACUCAAACUAUGUUUAGGUUCACCUCUAGCAAAGUCCUCUGAUGGACAGGAAUUAAGAAAGGACCAGUAUCCCCAUCUUUUGAAUCCACCAUGGUCUCUCUUGCUCUCUCUCUACUACUACUAAAAUUAGACAUUUUUAAAUCAGCAGGUCCAGCUAGCUUGCAUCCAAGAGUUUUAAAAGACUUGGCUGAGGAGAUCGCUGGACCAUUAAUAUUGCUUUUUCAAUAAGUCUUGGAGCAC